rnacentral:lncRNA from 1 species
GCGCCUGCUGCUCCUCGCCGUCCGCGCUGCAGUGCGAAGGGCUCGAAGAUGGCCGGUUGGCAGAGCUACGUGGAUAACCUGAUGUGCGAUGGCUGCUGCCAGGAGGCCGCCAUUGUCGGCUACUGCGACGCCAAAUACGUCUGGGCAGCCACGGCCGGGGGCGUCUUUCAGAGCAUUACGAAAUAGAUAUGAUUGUAGGAAAAGACCGGGAAGGUUUCUUUACCAACGGUUUGACUCUUGGCGCGAAGAAAUGCUCAGUGAUCAGAGAUAGUCUAUACGUCGAUGGUGACUGCACAAUGGACAUCCGGACAAAGAGUCAAGGUGGGGAGCCAACAUACAAUGUGGCUGUCGGCAGAGCUGGUAGAGCAUUGGUUAUAGUCAUGGGAAAGGAAGGUGUCCACGGAGGCACACUUAACAAGAAAGCAUAUGAACUCGCUUUAUACCUGAGGAGGUCUGAUGUGUAAGCAGCCUCUCCCCAUCUACCUAGCAACUGUCUUCAUCAACAACCCUAAUUAUGGUCACAAUGCUACCAAACUGUAGAUGGUAGCUAAUUUUUCUUUACCUAUUUUCUAAUGUCAUGAUUCCUGUUUGCCCAAUGGAUCAUUUGUAUGUUAACCACUGUAUGUAACCAACCCUUAUCUGGCAACAUAAUUGCAGCACAAUAAUGAUUUGCAUGAUACCUUGAAAUUGGGGGGAGGGGGCAUGCCAAGUUGGGCAUCACUUUGUCUUAGCAAUUAAUGGGAUAUUGAUUACUAAAAUAAGUUAAUAUUAAGCAAGGUGCCGGUUGUACAAUCUCUGAUCAGUGUCUUUUCAGCACUUUGAGCAUUUACUUGGCUCAUUUAGUCUUCCUUUUGUAGCGCAUGGUUGGGAGGAAAAAGUGCAUGCAUCAUUCCUUCACUCUUCUCUUUUUCCCGCCCCCCCUCCCUUCGCACAUAGGCAUUU